rnacentral:lncRNA from 1 species
CUUGUUUGGAGCCUUUUGCUCUUUAUUUAUAGGCUUUGGAUCGAUAUAAAAUCAAUAUAACAGAAUAAAAUAUAAACAGAAUGAAAUAUAAACAAACUCACCUGAAAUAUCUCUGUUGAGAUAUUAUUUGAUACGAGAUAUAUGAUAUUAUAUGAUACUGUUCCUUUAUUCUCGUUUGUGACAUGAUGGGCCUUGAGCCCAAUAAAGCUGGAUCAGUUUAAUAAUUCGGCCCAUUUAACUGGUAGGCUUGACCGUUCAGUGUAACCGGUCGUCAGAGAUAUACUACCGUACA